rfam:Ipomoea nil DNA, scaffold: scaffold1551, cultivar: Tokyo-kokei standard.
CUACCGGUUGAUCCUGCCAGUAGCAUUGUUGUCUCGAUUAAGCCAUCAUGUGUAGGAAGACCUCAGAGUGAAACUCGAAUGGCAAUAAACACCAUAGUUUGUUUGAUGGUACCUACUACUCGGAUAACCGUAGUUUCUAGGCAAUCGUGCAACAAACCCCGACUUUAAGGGAUGCUUAUUAGACGGGUCGACGCGGGCUUUGCCCGUUGCUGCGAUGAUUCAUGAUUCACGGAUCGCCCCUUACGGCGACGCAUUUUUUCUGCCCUAUCCUUUCGGUAGAUAGUGGACCAUGUGGUGACGGGUGACGGAGAAAGCCCUCGAGGAGAAGGCCUGAGAAACGGCUACCUCAUCCGAGGUCGGUCAGCACGCCGCAAAUUACCCAAUCGCUGACACGGGGAGGUUCAAUUGCAAUACCGGGCUCGAUCGAGCGGUAAUUGGUUGAACAACAGCUUAACGAGGACCAUUGGACAACGUGCCAGCGGCGGUAAUUCCAGAGGUAUAUUUAAGUUGUUGCAGUUAAAAAGCUCGUAUUGGACUUUGGCAUGGGCCGGCCGGUCCGCCCCGGGUGUGCACCGUCGUCUCGUCCCUUCUGCCGGCGACUCCUGGCCUAAUUGGCCGGGUCGGCCUCCAACACGUUACUUUGAAAAAUUAGAGGCUCAAACAACCUACGCUCUGUAUACAUUAGCAUGGGAAACAAUAGGACGGCCUAUUACGUUGCCCGGAUCGGAGUAAUUUAACGGGACAGUCGGGCAUUCGUUUUCAAGUAGAGGUGAAAUUCUUGAGAUUUUGAAAGCGAAAACUCGAAAGCAUUUGCCAUGAUGUUUUCAUUAAAAGAACGAAAGUUAUGCCCAGCGAUCCGAUAGUCCUAGUCUCAACCAUAAACGAUGCCGAAGGGAUCGGCGGAUGUUGCUUUUAGGACUCCGCCGGCACCUUAUGAGAAAUCAAAGUCUUUGGUUCCUAAGUAUGGUCGCAAGGCUGAAACUUAAAGGAAUUGACGGAAGGCACCACCAGGAGUUGCGGCUUAAUUUGACUCAACACGGGAAACUUCAGGUCCAGACAUAGUAAGGAUUGCAGACUGAAGCUCUUUCGAGAUUCUAUGGGUUGGUGCAUGGCCGUUCUUAGUUGUGGAGCGAUUUGUCGGUUAAUUCCGUUAACGAACGAGACCUCAGCCGCUAACUAGCUAUGCGGAGGUAUCCCUCCGCGGCCAGCUUCUUAGAGGGACUACGGCCUUUCAAGCCGCGGAAGUUUGAGCAAUAACAGGUCUGUGAUGCCCUUAGAUGUUCUCCGCACGCGCGCACACUGAUGUAUUCAACGAGCAUAUAGCCUUGGCCGACAGGCCCGGGUAAUCUUUGAAAUUUCAUCGUGAUGGGGAUAGAUCAUUGCAAUUGUUGGUCUUCAACGAGGAAUUCCUAGUAAGCGCGAGUCAUCAGCUCGCGUUGACUACGUCCCUGCCCUUUGUACACACCGCCCGUCGCUCCUACCGAUUGAAUGAUCCGGUGAAGUGUUCGGAUCGCGGCGACGUGGGCGGUUCGCUGCCCGCGACGUCGCGAGAAGUCCACUGAACCUUAUCAUUUAGAGGAAGGAGAAGUCGUAACAAGGUUUCCGUAGGUGAACCUGCGGAAGGAUCAUUG